ensembl:rRNA 5S_rRNA 5S ribosomal RNA
GUCCAGCAUUUCCAGUUUGGAAUGGGGGAGUAUCAUCUGAUCUUGGAAGGAAAGCAGGGCCAGGCCUGGUUAGUCCUUGGACGGAAGACUGCCUGGGAAUACCACUGCUGUAGGCU